rfam:Felis catus isolate Cinnamon breed Abyssinian chromosome C2, whole genome shotgun sequence.
GCCUGGGUGGCUCAGUCGGUUGAGCAUCUGACUUCGGCUCAGGUCAUGAUCUCGCGGUCUGUGAGUUCGAGCCCCUGCUUCGGGCU